CCAGGCUGCCCGGCGGGGACGCUGCUUUCCCCGGGGAGGCUCCGCGGCGCCGGGCCGGGCCCCUCCCUCCUUUCCCCGGAUCGGGACCGUCGGACCCCAGCGCACAUGGCGCCCCCGGAGCCAGGCAGUGGGAGGUCCCAGCAGCAGAAUCGGAAGGGCCAGCGCCACCGCACGAUGGGACCCCCAGAGUCGCAGCCGCACCGGGAUCAGACGUACCUGGAUGAGAAGAUCGCCAUCCCGGAUGUGGGAGGGCCCGGCUUCAGCUUCCGGAAGCUGUGGGCUUUCACCGGCCCCGGGUUCCUCAUGAGCAUCGCCUUCCUGGACCCCGGGAACAUCGAGUCGGACCUGCAGUGCGGGGCCGUCGCUGGGUUCAAGCUGCUGUGGGUGCUGCUCUGGGCCACCAUCCUGGGGCUGCUGUGCCAGCGGCUGGCGAUCAGGCUGGGCGUCGUCACGGGGCUGGACCUGGGCGAGGUCUGCUACCAGUACUACCCAAAGGUACCGCGCGUGCUGCUCUGGAUCAUGAUCGAGAUCGCCAUCAUUGGCUCCGACAUGCAGGAGGUGAUCGGGACGGCCAUCGCUUUCAGCCUCCUCUCGGCCGGACGCAUCCCCCUGUGGGGCGGAGUCCUCAUCACCAUCAUCGACACCCUCUUCUUCCUCUUCCUGGAUAAAUACGGUCUCCGGAAGCUGGAAGCCUUUUUCGGUCUCCUGAUCACUAUCAUGGCAGUGACCUUUGGCUACGAGUACGUGGUGGUACGGCCUGCCCAGACGGAGGUGCUGAAGGGCCUAUUCUUCCCCUACUGCCGCGGCUGCGGGCGGGAGGAGCUGCUGCAGGCCGUGGGCAUCGUGGGCGCAAUCAUCAUGCCGCACAACAUCUACCUCCACUCCUCCCUGGUCAAGACCCGCGAAGUGACGCGCUCCCGGAGGCAGGAGGUGAGCGAGGCCAACAAGUACUUCCUGAUCGAGUCCUGCAUCGCCCUCUUCGUCUCCUUCCUCAUCAACCUCUUCGUCAUGGCCGUCUUCGGCCAGGCCUUCUACCACCGCACCAACCAGGACGUGCAGCGUCAGCCAGUACGCCCCCAUCUUCCCCAGGAACAACGAGACGGUCUCCGUGGACAUCUACCAAGGGGGCGUCAUUCUGGGCUGUUACUUCGGCUCCGUUGCUCUCUACAUCUGGGCCAUCGGGAUUCUGGCAGCAGGGCAGAGCUCCACCAUGACCGGGACCUACGCUGGGCAGUUUGUCAUGGAGGGGUUCCUGCAGCUCCGCUGGUCCCGCUUUGUCCGCGUGCUCUUCACUCGCUCCUUCGCCAUCCUGCCCACCGUCUUCAUCGCCGCCUUCAAGGACGUCAGCCACCUGACGGGGAUGAACGACCUUCUCAACGUGCUGCAGAGCAUCCUGCUCCCCUUCGCCGUCCUCCCAGUUCUCACCUUCACCAGCAUGCGGCCGCUCAUGCAGGAGUUCACCAACGGCAUUGUCGGGAAGGUGCUGAUGAUCCUCAUCACCGGGCUGAUCUGCGCCAUUAACCUCUACUUCGUGGUGAUCUACAUCCCUACGCUGGGCAGCAUUGCCUACUACAUCCCCCUGGCCUUCGUGCUGGCCGGCUACGUGGCCUUCACCGCCUACCUGAUCUGGACGUGCUGCAUUGCACACGGAGCCGACUUCCUGGCCUGCGGGCGCCACAGCCAGUUCUCCUAUGGGCUCCCCUCCACCGACCCGCCCGGCUGGCCAGGGCCCCGCUGACACGUCGUGCCCUGCCCGCUGGGUUUGUCGCCAUCCCAGGAGGGGACGAAGCCAUCGCCACGCAGUCACCGCCACCGGCAGGGCCGGGGUUCAGGGCUGGGCUCCCCACUCCCCCCACGGACUGACGGACAUGCAGCAUCCCAGGGCAUCUCCCCUUCUCGGCAAGCUCAGGGUGUGGGGGGACGGCACUGACCAACCAGCACCUUGGCGGGCACCUGUGAUCACCCCCCCCUGCCACCACAGCUCUGCCGGUGCCCCCCAGUCCUGACCCACAGCCCCCUGCUAGCCUAGUCCUGGUCCCCCCCCGAGUGCUGCCGGUGCCCCUCAAUCCCGACCUGCAGCUCUUGUUUAAGGUCCAGAUCCUACAUGUGAAAUAAUGACCCUAAGUUCACACUGAUUGUGGAGGUAACGCGGAUCCCACUGUGAGUAGCCCCGGCUGGCUGGGGUCGGGGGAAUGGGCUGGGUGGAGCCGCAGCUGUGACGGGAGUAAAAGGAGACUCACAGAGAAGGAGUUCACGUUGCAGACCCUGCUGGCCAGGCACCUCCCCAGGAAAGUGCUGCUCUGUGAAUAAACGUGAUUUCAAGGGUUCCCUACAGGAGGGUCUGGUCAUUGGCUGGUGCCCCCGGAGGGAGCAGAAAUGAGCCACCCCUGGAGCCGAGCCAGCCCCACCGGCCAGCCUGGGCCUCCCUGCAAGAGUCCAUUGUCACCCUUCAGUGGCGGCCAAAGGUCAUUGCCCAGAAUAGGAACAUUUUCCGUGUGCCCAUCACC